GUAAUCUACUCGUGUACACACUUCUGUGGUUGUAAAUACAUAUAAAAAAAAUCAAUUUAUACCUAUUUAAUUAACAAUAAAGAAUAUCGAUGAAUCAACUUCAUAGUUAUUUUCCUAUGUCUCUCUUUCAAAACAGAUUAGGAGGGUUAAAUUUCCGUUUAUCUCAAAAUUCGGGGAUUAAAACCAACAAAUUAGCCAAAUUAAACGAAAAAAAACCAAGUAAAUACUAACAUGCUCACACUUCAGUAACCCAAAUUUAAUGUGUUAAGCUAUUUGUGAUAUAGUUAAUGGUUGUCACUACUCAGAUGCUUAAACAGCGUACUUCUUAUAUUUUACGUAUUACGAGUUUCCUUUAAAAUUAUCCAUUUUAAUUAAAAAUGGACAAAUGUAUUAUUAGUAUUAAGCAGUCGCCUACUGCUUGAAAACAUCGUAGAGACUCACCAAAAAAAGUGUAUUCAAUCGAAAAUCCUGGCAAUAUAAACUCCACCGAGGAAUUUUGCCUGACAAGGCAAUUACGAUUUUAGCAGCAAAUUAUAUAUUCACUAUUUACCACAUUAAAUUGGUUCUCAUAUACUACAGUCUACAUAUUACUAUCCAUAACGAUUUCUCUGUUUCCUUUCGUUUUAUAUGGUGUUAAGCAAACGAAAAUGUAUACCUACACACCUUAAUUAAAAUCGAUAUCAAGGGCUAAACGUAUUUUUAUUUUUUUUUUUAAUUUGUUCAGCUUUCUUAUUUAUUUUUAAAGUCAAACGACCUAUUGUAUACAUAUUGUCAUUUUUAUAAUAACA